CGGAGGGUGCAAGCGUUAUCCGGAUUCACUGGGGUUUAAAGGGUGCGUAGGCGGAUUAGAAAGUCCGUUGUGAAAUCUCUGAGCUUAACUCGGAAAUUGCGGUGGAUACUAUUAGUCUUGAAUACUGUGGAGGUUAGCGGAAUAUGUCAUGUAGCGGUGAAAUGCAUAGAUAUGACAUAGAACACCAAUUGCGAAGGCAGCUGGCUACACAGAUAUUGACGCUGAGGCACGAAAGCGAGGGGAUCAAACAGGAUUAGAUACCCUGGUAGUCCACGCCCUAAACGAUGAUUACUCGACAUUUGCGAUACACAGCAAGUGUCUGAGCGAAAGCAUUAAGUAAUCCACCUGGGAAGUACGACCGCAAGGUUG
rnacentral:rRNA from 1 species